GACGAACGCUAGCUACAGGCUUAACACAUGCAAGUCGAGGGGCAGCGCAGUGUAGCAAUACAUGGGCGGCGACCGGCGCACGGGUGCGUAACGCGUAUCCAACCUUCCCGUUACUCUUGGAUAGCCUUCCGAAAGGGAGAUUAAUACAAGAUGGUAUUCAAAUUCCGCAUGUUAUUUGAAUUAAAGAUUUAUCGGUAACGGAUGGGGAUGCGUGACAUUAGAUAGUAGGCGGGGUAACGGCCCACCUAGUCUACGAUGUCUAGGGGUUCUGAGAGGAAGGUCCCCCACACUGGAACUGAGACACGGUCCAGACUCCUACGGGAGGCAGCAGUGAGGAAUAUUGGUCAAUGGUCGGAAGACUGAACCAGCCAAGUAGCGUGAAGGAUGAAGGUUCUAUGGAUUGUAAACUUCUUUUAUACGGGAAUAAAACCUCCCACGUGUGGGAGCUUGUAUGUACCGUAUGAAUAAGCAUCGGCUAACUCCGUGCCAGCAGCCGCCACGGUAA
rnacentral:rRNA from 1 species